rnacentral:tmRNA from 1 species
GGGGACGUUACGGAUUCGACAGGGAUAGUUUGAGCUUAGGUUGCGAGUCGAGGGGAUCGGCCUCGUCAAAACGUCAACGCCAAUAAUAACUGGCAAAGAAAACAAUAACUUCGCACUAGCUGCCUAAUUAAGGCCUAAUGCGGUUCCUCCCUCCAUCGCCCAUGUGGUAGGGUAAGGGACUCACUCUUAGUGGGAUACGCCGGAAGCUCUCCGCCUGGGGGCCAAGGAAGAGAUGAAUCAGGCUAGCACUUUGGAAGCCUGUCGAUAGGCUGAAGAAGUUGCGAAACAAUAAUAUAUCGACUACACUCGUAGACGCUUAAGUGGCGAUAUUUCUGGACGAGGGUUCGACUCCCUCCGUCUCCACCA